CCUACGGGCGGCUGCAGUGGGGAAUAUUGCACAAUGGGCGAAAGCCUGAUCCAGCCAUGCCGCGUGUGUGAAGAAGGCCUUCGGGUUGUAAAGCACUUUCAGUGGGGAAGAAAGCCUUGGGGCUAAUACCCUCGAGGAAGGACAUCACCCACAGAAGAAGCACCGGCUAACUCCGUGCCAGCAGCCGCGGUAAUACGGAGGGUGCGAGCGUUAAUCGGAAUUACUGGGCGUAAAGCGCGCGUAGGCGGUCUGAUAAGUCGGUUGUGAAAGCCCCGGGCUCAACCUGGGAACGGCAUCCGGAACUGGCAGGCUAGAGUGCAGGAGAGGAAGGUAGAAUUCCAGGUGUAGCGGUGAAAUGCGUAGAGAUCGGGAGGAAUACCAGUGGCGAAGGCGGCCUUCUGGACUGACACUGACGCUGAGGUGCGAAAGCGUGGGUAGCAAACAGGAUUAGAUACCCCAGUAGUC
rnacentral:rRNA from 1 species